UGUGAAGUUCGCAAAUUUACCCUUCAGC
rnacentral:sRNA from 1 species